rnacentral:rRNA from 1 species
UACGUAGGGGGCGAGCGUUGUCCGGAAUCAUUGGGCGUAAAGCGCGUGUAGGCGGCUUGGUAAGUCCGGUGUGAAAUCUUGGGGCUCAACCCCAAGCCUGCACUGGAUACUGCCUCGCUUGAGUCCGGGAGGGGAGAGCGGAAUUCCUAGUGUAGCGGUGAAAUGCGCAGAUAUUAGGAAGAACACCGGUGGCGAAGGCGGCUCUCUGGAACGGUACUGACGCUGAGACGCGAAAGCGUGGGGAGCGAACAGG